ACCUUAAGUAUUUAUAAGAGUAGUUAGGUAUUUGUGGUAUAUAGCUUAUUCUAGACAUAUAAUUUUCACCAAAAGCUUUUUCUAAGAUAAUUUUUCUUAUAUCUGCUACUUCUAUAUUUCUAAGUGCAUACAAAAUAAGUAUCUUGAAUUUAUCUACCAUCACAUCAGAUAUAUUAUCAUUCAUUUUCAUAAAUUUGCUUUUUUCAAAAUAUUCCCUUCAAUCACGUACACAACAAAAUAUGGUCAUAUUGGCUUACUAUAUACUAGAUUAUUCUUAAAUAAUAUGUUCUUCCGUCACUAUUAACAUGGUAAUCCGGAUACUUUUUCCCUUAAACAGCGCCUCUACUCUGGUUACUCCCCGCCACGGCUUCUUGCCUCAAUGGUUUCACCUUUAGGAUGGCAUAGUCCUUAGGGAUAUUUCUCCGUUUCCUCUUUGUUAAUAAACUUCUUAACAUAUUAUUCUUCGAAUAAUUCUACUAUAAAGUAACUAAUAUGAAU
rnacentral:lncRNA from 1 species